rnacentral:rRNA from 1 species
AGGACGAACGCUGGCGGCGUGCUUAACACAUGCAAGUCGAGCGGAAAGGCCCUUCGGGGUACUCGAGCGGCGAACGGGUGAGUAACACGUGGGCAACCUGCCCCUAGCUCUGGGAUAACUCCGGGAAACCGGGGCUAAUACCGGAUACGAUCUUCCAUGGCAUCUCGGAAGAUGGAAAGUUUUUUCGGCUAGGGAUGGGCCCGCGGCCUAUCAGCUUGUUGGUGAGGUAACGGCCCACCAAGGCGACGACGGGUAGCCGGCCUGAGAGGGCGACCGGCCAACGACUGGGACUGAGACACGGCCCAGACUCCACGGGAGCAGCAGUGGGAAUAUGCGCAAUGGGCAAAGCCUGACGCAGCGACGCCGCGUGAGGGAUGAAGGCCUUCGGUUGUAAACCUCUUUCAGCAGGACGAGCGAGAGUGACGUACCUGCAGAAGAAGCGACGGCCAACACGUGCCAGCAGCCGC